rnacentral:rRNA from 1 species
GACGAACGCUGGCGGCGUGCUUAACACAUGCAAGUCGAACGGAAAGGCCCUGCGUUUGUGGGUCGCUCGAGUGGCGAACACGGGUGUAACACGUGAGUAACCUGCCCUUGACUUUGGGAUAACUUCUGGAAACUGGGGCUAUAACCGCAUAGAAGCUCCUGCUGCAUGUGGGGCGGUGGAAAGUUUCGGCGGUUGGGGAUGGUCUCGCGGCUUAUCAGCUUGUUGGUGGGGUAGUGGCUUACCAAGACUUUGAAGGGUAGCCGGCCUGAGAGGGUGACCGGCCACAUUGGGACUGAGAUACGGCCCAGACGCCUACGGGAGGCAGCAGUGGGGAAUAUUGCACAAUGGGCGGAAGUCUGAUGCAGCAACGCCGCGUGCGGGAUGCCGGCCUUCGGGUUGUAAACAGCUUUCGCCUGUGACGAAGCGUGAGUGACGGUAAUGGGUAAAGAAGCACCGGCUAACUACGUG